rnacentral:rRNA from 1 species
GGGCUCAUUAUAUAAGUUAUGGUUUAUUUGAUAGUACCUUACUACUUGGAUAACCGGUGGUAAUUCUAGAGCUAAUACAUGCUAAAAAUCCCGACUUCGGAAGGGAUGUAUUUAUUAGAUUAAAAACCAAUGCCCUUCGGGGCUCCUUGGUGAUUCAUGAUAACUCCUCGAAUCGCAUGGCCUUGUGCCGGCGAUGGUUCAUUCAAAUUUCUUCCCUAUCAACUUUCGAUGUUUGGGUAUUGGCCAAACAUGGUUGCAACGGGUAACGGAGGGUUAGGGCUCGACCCCGGAGAAGGAGCCUGAGAAACGGCUACUACAUCCAAGGAAGGCAGCAGGCGCGCAAAUUACCCAAUCCCGACACGGGGAGGUAGUGACAAUAAAUACUGAUACAGGGCUCUUUUGGGUCUUGUAAUUGGAAUGAGUACAAUUUAAAUCCCUUAACGAGGAACAAUUGGAGGGCAAGUCUGGUGCCAGCAGCCGCGGUAAUUCCAGCUCCAAUAGCGUAUAUUAAAGUUGUUGUGGUUAAAAAGCUCGUAGUUGAACCUUGGGCCUGGCUGGCCGGUCCGCCUCACCGCGUGUACUGGUCCGGCCGGGCCUUUCCCUCUGUGGAACCCCAUGCCCUUCACUGGGUGUGGCGGGGAAACAGGACUUUUACUUUGAAAAAAUUAGAGUGCUCCAGGCAGGCCUAUGCUCGAAUACAUUAGCAUGGAAUAAUAGAAUAGGACGUGUGGUUCUAUUUUGUUGGUUUCUAGGACCGCCGUAAUGAUUAAUAGGGACAGUCGGGGGCAUCAGUAUUCAAUUGUCAGAGGUGAAAUUCUUGGAUUUAUUGAAGACUAACUACUGCGAAAGCAUUUGCCAAGGAUGUUUUCAUUAAUCAGGAACGAAAGUUAGGGGAUCGAAGACGAUCAGAUACCGUCGUAGUCUUAACCAUAAACUAUGCCGACUAGGGAUCGGACGAUGUUAUUUUUUGACUCGUUCGGCACCUUACGAGAAAUCAAAGUGCU